rnacentral:rRNA from 1 species
AUUGAACGCUGGCGGCAUGCCUUACACAUGCAAGUCGAACGGCAGCGGGGACUUCGGUCCGCCGGCGAGUGGCGAACGGGUGAGUAAUGUAUCGGAACGUACCUUUCAGUGGGGGAUAACGUAGCGAAAGUUACGCUAAUACCGCAUAUUCUGUGAGCAGGAAAGCAGGGGAUCGCAAGACCUUGCGCUGAUUGAUCGGCCGAUAUCAGAUUAGCUAGUUGGUGAGGUAAAGGCUCACCAAGGCGACGAUCUGUAGCGGGUCUGAGAGGAUGAUCCGCCACACUGGAACUGAGACACGGUCCAGACUCCUACGGGAGGCAGCAGUGGGGAAUUUUGGACAAUGGGGGCAACCCUGAUCCAGCCAUGCCGCGUGAGUGAAGAAGGCCUUCGGGUUGUAAAGCUCUUUCGGCCGGGAAGAAAUCGCAUGGGUUAAUACCCUGUGCGGAUGACGGUACCGGCAUAAGAAGCACCGGCUAACUACGUGCCAGCCGCCGCCGUAAUAC